CGCUGGCUCAGGCCCAGACCCUGUGAGCCCUGUUUAUCACCUUGAAGCAAACACUUCCUUCCAGACAGGGCCAGGCACCCGGCCAACGAGCCCGACGUGUCUAGUAAAUCAAGGCCAAGGCGGGGAAGUGAAGCCGGGGCGGCCCAGAGAGAAGGCUGGGCUCGGAGAGGGGGGCCCGGAAGGAGCCUCUUUGUGGCGGUAUCACUAUCCCAGCGUUUGAGGGAAUCCACACGGUGGAGGAGGCAUCCCUGAGAGGAAUCAAGCUCAGCCCUCAUCCUCGGCCCAGACAAGAGCUAAGACUGCUCCGUGUGGCCAGGGCCCUGAUGGAGGAAGGCACGAAGAAGAUGGCUGAAACAGCUUGGGGAAUCCAGGAAUGCUUCCUGGUGGAGGUGACAGCCAUGUUGUCAAAAAGACAGCUAUUAGCCAGGUAAAGGGACUCAGGAGGAGAGGAAGGAAUGCUGCAGGCUGAGACUCUAGAGAACAGAGGGUCUGCAAGAUGCUUAGUGUGCUGAUGGGGCCUGGGGGGCUGAGGGAGGGGUGGAUUGAGGUCUGAGGCCAGGGUACCCGGGGCCCAGCCUUCCUAGGAUGCUUCUUCCUGGCAGCAGCGGGGAGCCACCUACAGGUGGUGAAAAGGAACUACCGGAUUGCAGGGGCCUGUUCUGGACACGGCAGGGAAUCAGGAAAGCCAUUUGGCAGAUGGGAAACCCAAGUAUCCCCUUUAUUGGUGGGCAGGUUGGUUUGGGAGAAUGUGGCUUCCCUCUGUGGGCCACGGGGUCUCCAGACACAGAGCCCCAGGCCUCCCCAGUGUGGGCGCCCAGAGAAGAAGGGGGGGUCCCUGCUGGCCGACCUCCUGCGUCCGCUCUCUUCCUCUGAGCAGGGGGAGGGAGGCUGGCCAGGUUAUUUGGGAGUCUUCUCCCCCAGGGAGGGACACAUCCGGAGGGUGGCAUGGGCUGUUCCGUCCCCGCAGCGCUGGCGAGGCUGAGGAGGUUUGGGAGGACAGAGGGACGUAGGGGCAGGGUCUGUCCCACUGUGCCUGCAGCUCAUGCGUGGUCAAGAGCCAAAACCGGCCCCGGCCACCAUGGAGCCCAGGGCUGUGUGUUAGAGCCCAGGAAACCGGAGCCCGGAAAGAAAUAGAUCUUGUUCCUGGUCGCACAGCGAGUUAGGGACAGGGGCCAACCAAGAAUGCAGGUCCCAACUACCCACUCACAGCUCUGUCCCCUACUGUACUUUCUACCGGUGGCGUCCCUGAGGAUCUGCACACUCUGGAUCUCUGUGCACGCGGCGGGGACACUGCCAACAUUGGGAGAAGGUCGCCAGCAGGAAUCCUGGCAUGUAAAAACCAGGUGCCAUCAGCCUCCGUCUGAACCGCUUUCACAGAUAGGGCACAAGGGGCCGGCCUCAGAGGACCAGGCGGCCUGACCGGCGAUCCUUGGCUCAAAAAGUAUCCCUGCACCCCGAAUUCCGGGCAGAGGCCCGGCCCUGCGAGAUGCCCGGGGAAGCAGGCCGCGGACUUGCCAGCCACCAGCUCAGAGCCAGUGCUGGGGGGAAUGCCCCGCCCAGAGGCGGAGGCCCCGCCCAGAGGCAGAGGCCCCGCCCAGUACCAGGCAGGGUUCCCCAGAGGGACAGAGCCAGUGGGAUAUACAGAGAUUACACACCUAAGAGGAGCUUUAGUGUAGGAAUCCGCUCACGAGGUCAUGGAGGCCGAGAAGCCCCCUGAUCCUCCAUCUGCAAGGCGGAGACCCAGGAGGGCCGAAGGGUCCUCGGGUAGAGUCCGAGUUUCGAGAACCGGGAGCUCUGGGGGCGGGAGAAGGUGGAAGAGGCACAGAGAGUAAGUCCGCCCCUCCGUUCCCCUCCGUGGAGGCGGACUGGGGGUGCCCCCCACACUGGGGAGCUCAGACCUGCUUCGUUCCGUCCACCGCUGGAAAUGCUGACCUGUUCGGGAGCCCCCCGCACACGCACAGCCAGAGACGACGUCCGGCCCGCUGCCCCGCACCCAGGGCCCCGCCCAGAAGCCACACGAAACUGACCAUCACGAGGUUCCGGCUCUGGUUCUGUCACUAAACGAGGCGAGUCCCGAGGUUCCGACCACCUAAUGUGUGCCCAGCCCUUCCUCCGCUGGGAGUGGGGACCCAGAACUGAAAAGGCCCCAUUCCCCUUCUGGGACCCCGCAGUCCAGGGAACACGCAGGUCAGUGCUCCCCUCUGGGAGCAGCCAGGCUGUGGCACAGGGCUCGGACCGGUCACCUUCCCUCUGCAACAGCGGCAGGUGACAUCGGCAGUCUGCAGGGGCCCUCUUCCCUCAGCCUCCCUCCAGGGGGCCCUGCCGGUGGCCGCUGUCGUCCUGCCAAGCCCACAGGGCCGUCCUGACGACUUGGAAGGCCUGCCCAGGUGGCUUUCGUGAUCCCCAUUACUUUGGGGGCAGAGCUAAAGUCCCGCCCAGCUGACCCCUCUGUCACUUUGCCUCACUCUCGGAGCCUUUCCUCCAUGUGCUCACUCCAUGCCAUGAUCACCUUGGAUUGUAAUUGUGAGCUCAGCCAACAGCCGCCUGAUUUCCUCCAUCAACAGCAAGCUCACUACCUCUGGUGACAAAGGUCUUUAUGUUGGUCCCAAAGCUCUCCAGGCCCUGGUUCAUGGCACACACCUGACUCAGAGACGCAAUGUCAACCAAUAAUGACAGCUGUUUACUGUGCACUGAGCGCCUGGCCUGCCACGUCCCUGCGGCGGAUACCCUCCUGGCCCGCUGCGUGGCUCGGUGCAUGACUGAAUGAAUUAACCACAGCAACUGUGUAAAGUCUCGGCGGGUUCUCCUCUCCCUGUUUCACAGAUGGGGAAACUGAGUCCUGAGAGUCAAGAGUCUGCACCGUGGCAGAGGGGACACUGGAAGCCACGCUCCCUUCCACCUAGACCCUUGCCCCUUCUGAGAGCACGUCCUGUGGGGGCAGAAACACACGCCCACCCCUCCAGGCCUGUCUCCUCACUGGCUUCCCCACACCUGCCCCGUGUGCACACAUGCUCUUCCUUCCAGAACCUUCUCUGUCUCCUUCCUCCCUUCCCACCAUAGGGAUGGCAGCCUGCACUUGAACUGCCCAUUCCCAUAGUUGUUCCCCAAAGACAGUAUCCUUUCAAGUCAAGCGUGCAUCCUGAUCAACCUGGUGUUGGCAUUCACAGCGCAUGGCAAAGGAUAAGAGAUUCGGGGCCACCCUUGAGGGCGAGCAGGGGGGAUUCCACGAGACCAGCCGUCAGGAGAGAGGUAAGGGAAGGAGCAGCAGGAAGAGACAUGCCAGGAGCUCUGAAGGGAACACAGCGCUUUCCCGUGGGUGCUUGGCGGCAGGCCCUGAGCAGCGCCAGAACGUCGACAAUCGAAAUGUCAGAUAAGAGCGAGCGUUGGCGAGGGUGUGGAGCAAUCAGAAGCUCCUUGCACUGCCUGUGGGCACGUAAGUGGCACGGCUGCUCUGAAAAGCAGUCAGGUGGUGCCUCCCCUCUAAAACAGAGUUCCUGUGCGACCCAGCAAUUCCGCUCCCCGGGGAGUGCCCGGAGAAGUGCCAGUGUGCCCACAUGAAGACAUGCACAUGAUCGUUUAUAGCAGCCUGAUUCAUAAUAGCAAAAUGUGGAAACAACCCAAGUGUCCGUUGAGCGGCAAAUGGAAAAACACAUGGGCUAGAUCCAGACGAUAGAAUAUAAUGGAAUAUUCUCAGCCAUAAAAAAGAGUGAAAUAGCGAUACGUGCUACAAAAUGGAUGAAUCUUUAAAACAUCCUGCCAAAUGAAGGAAGCCAGUC